GGACCCCGGAGGGUCCGAACUGUCUCAGCGGAGAAAGGGGACAUAGUGUGCUGGCGGGCGCUGGCUGUUGGCGUUAGAGCUCCGGCUGUGGCUCAGUCUGGGGCGCGGUUCUUGCCAACACACCAUGUCCAGAGACAGCUGACAAAAAAACUAAAUUGAAACCAGCUCUGGAUGGGAUAACAACACAGGGUCAUACUUACUUUACGGCAGGCACGUUAUUCGCCUUCUUACUCGCACUCACCGCUAUGGAUUCGCUCUUCAGGGGGCACUGAGACAUCCUACAGUGCCCUGGACGGCCCACCCCAACCAUGGUAUCCGUUGUCCAACAGUUUUGGAUACCCCAGAAUCGUCUCCCCGUUCCCCCUCUACAGCAUGGUGCACUACCCCUUCCUUACCUUAAUGAUCUACUCUUCCAUAGCGAAAUGAGAAUACUAAGCCAAGUGGAAUUUCAUUUCUACGUUAUAAAAGAAAAGUGCCUUUGUUGCGUCUGUCAGAUCACCGGACUGGAAUGCUUCGACGACGGCUCCCCUGGAUAGCAAGACAAUUUGGUAGCGGAGGUGCCCUGGAUCUCCCUUUUUAUGUUCUUGCCAACCUGCAGGGACAACAUUAAACGACCAAAGGGUCUUUUAUUUAAAGUGUAUUCCUAGUGCCCUAGAAUGAGCUCACCCUACUUCCUAGGUUGUAUCGUCCGUUCAAUCACCGGACUGCAGAUAUGAAACCCAAUGUCUACCCUGUUUGCUGCCUAAGUUAUUCUGUUUUCUUUUUUUUUUUAUUUCUUAUAUUUUUAUUCCAGGAUGUGUGUCAAGCUAAGUUUCUCUGUGUAUCGUUCUAAGUAUUGAACAUAUAAAAAGGAGCAUACAUCGGCCUACCUUGGCACCUACGGGCUGCUGGUGCAAAAUUCCCUCGGGGACACUGGAGCAGAUGGCGGCGGUGGAACCAAUGAUGAAGCUGGAGAUGCUGAUGAGAUGAUGAUGUUGUUGAGGAUGGAAAUGUUGACGUUGCCGUGGAUGACGAUGGUUAAAAUUGCAGUAGAGGUGGGUAUUUAUUAUUUGACAAAAAGUUUUUGUUGUUCUGUUUAGUCUUUGCUAUGUUUUAUUCGUGGCUCAAAUUAACGUUCUUUUUCAAAGCUUUUUAUAUUUCACAGGAUCUUUUUUCUUUAGCAUUAAUUAGCACUAAUAAGUUUAUUUAGCUUUAAGUUGAUCUAAAGUAACUUCAGCUUUUUUACUACAAAAGCUAGUCUUUAUUCCUUUCACAAAAAAAGGAACAUUUAUUUGCUUUUAAAU